CGUAGUAGGACAGACUCAGAAUAUAAACAGGGACAAACAGGAAAUCGUGCUCUUCUCUCUUCUCUUCUCUGCAGAGAUGCUGAGCCAGGUGCCAUCAUGUAGCAGGCAAAGGAGUUGCAGUUUUGGGUGCCAGAGCUCUGAAGAGAGGUCUUACAAGCAAAAGAAAAUCCAAUGUUGAUACAUGCAUUCUCUCUCGAGGUUCUGGGGUGGGAUCUGGGCCUUCUCAUUCCAGGUCCAGGGCCACCUGUAUUCCUUCAGCAACGCACUGUUGACAUCCCUGCUCCUGCUGUCACACCUCCUCAGAUUCUGACUCUUUGCCUCCAGUAAUAAGAACCCUCUCAAUGACACUGCCCCCAUGGGGAGAUAACAUCUCCCCGAACUGGGAGAGAUGAUCCCACGCCUCACCAUGGGUGUGAGAGAGCUGGUCCCCAAUGGUGUGAGCCUAGGAGAGCUGGCUCUGACCCUCAUCUGAGGGGGUGGUCCCAGUGACCCUGACCUGCCAAUUCAGCUACAGUCCAGAUCUACAUUCUAUCCUACCUCUGACCUGCUGGAGUGCAUGAAGGGAAUGGCCCUGUGGAACAAUGACCACAGGAUCUCCAUGACAUCCAAGAGGAGUUUUAGAGAGGAUCCAGUGAUGACGGUGUGCCAGGGGACUUGAACUCAUUGCAGUGAACAUUUUACGGGUGGGGCUGAUUGGACACAAGGGAGCUUCGUGACACACUGCAGCUCCCCAUGCCAGGAUGAAUAAAGAAGUGUUGGAAAGAUG